CGUCGCGCUCCGCGAUCGGCACCGCGAGCUCGCUGAGCCCGAGCCCGGCGCGCACCGCCGCGCGCAGCAUCAGGUUCGAAUUCAGCCCCGACAC
rnacentral:tRNA from 1 species